rnacentral:rRNA from 1 species
UACGAAGGGUGCAAGCGUUGUUCGGAUUUAUUGGGCGUAAAGGGCGUGUAGGCGGAAAAAUAAGUCAGGUGUGAAAUCUCGGAGCUUAACUCCGAAACAGCGCCUGAAACUGUUUAUCUAGAAUCUCGAAUGGGGAGGCGGAAUUUCGCAUGUAGGAGUAAAAUCCGUAGAGAUGCGAAGGAACACCAGAGGCGAAGGCGGCCUCCUGGGAGAGUAUUGACGCUGAGGCGCGAAAGCGUGGGGAGCAAACAGG